UACGUAGGGUGCAAGCGUUAAUCGGAAUUACUGGGCGUAAAGCGUGCGCAGGCGGUGAUGUAAGACAGGUGUGAAAUCCCCGGGCUUAACCUGGGAACUGCAUUUGUGACUGCAUCGCUGGAGUGCGGCAGAGGGGGAUGGAAUUCCGCGUGUAGCAGUGAAAUGCGUAGAUAUGCGGAGGAACACCGAUGGCGAAGGCAAUCCCCUGGGCCUGCACUGACGCUCAUGCACGGAAGCGUGGGGAGCAAACAGG
rnacentral:rRNA from 1 species